CAACUACUCCCUCCGUCCGGAAAUACUUGUCAUCAAAAUGGAUGAAAAGAGAUGUAUCUAGAACUAAAAUACAUCUAGAUACAUCCCUUUUUAUUCUUUUUGAUGACAAGUAUUUUCGGACGGAGGGAGUAUAUG
rnacentral:pre_miRNA from 1 species